UACAGAGGGUGCAAGCGUUGUUCGGAAUUAUUGGGCGUAAAGCGCGUGUAGGCGGCUUUGCAAGUCGGGUGUGAAAGCCCUCGGCUCAACCGAGGAAGUGCGCCCGAAACUGCAGAGCUUGAGUACCGGAGAGGAUGGCGGAAUUCCCCAAGUAGAGGUGAAAUUCGUAGAUAUGGGGAGGAACACCGGUGGCGAAGGCGGCCAUCUGGACGGAUACUGACGCUGAGACGCGAAAGCGUGGGGUAGCAAACAGG
rnacentral:rRNA from 1 species